rnacentral:tRNA from 8 species
GGCGGCGUAGCUCAGCUGGCUAGAGCGUUCGGUUCAUACCCGAAAGGUCGGGGGUUCGAGCCCCUCCACCGCUACCA